rnacentral:rRNA from 1 species
AACGACUCUCGGCAACGGAUAUCUCGGCUCACGCAUCGAUGAAGAACGUAGCAAAAUGCGAUACUUGGUGUGAAUUGCAGAAUCCCGUGAACCAUCGAGUUUUUGAACGCAAGUUGCGCCCGAAGCCAUUCGGNUGAGGGCACGUCUGCCUGGGCGUCACGC